AGAAGAGAUUGGAUUUAAUGUGUCCUUAGAGGAGGUUGAUGAAGUGGUGUAGUGUUAUGGACUUGCAGACCUGUUAUCUCUGUCCUAGGUCCUGCAGAGAAAGUAGUAAUUCCAAGGAGAAAGCUAUUCAUCUCAUUCUCCUUCUUUAUUCCCCAUUCCAACCAUCAGCUAGUCAUUACUCUCAGCUAGCCUAGGAGCACAUGACUACUUUGAACACACUCAUCAGUGUAUUGCAUGGAGCUCAGUGUCUCUGGCAAAAUUUGAACACGUGCAUGCAUGAUGAGACCAGACCUUCCUCCACUCCAGAGCUAUGCAUGAUGAGAGCAGACCUUCCUCCACUCCAGAGCUAUUCUAUAGCAGGAAACAGGUCCUAGAAAAGUGGCUCAGUGGAUUUGAGCGCUUGCUGCUCCUUUGGAGGACCUAAAGUACUGACAUGCUUUGAUUCGGUUAUUUGUGUGGUCAUCCUCAAGUGAUUGUUAGAUUUUUCGUGAUGUUAUGUUCAGUUUUACAGAGUCACUGUCACAUGGGGAGGAGACUUCACACCACAUCCCCCAUCUUCUUGAUAGCAUUCUUUGAUUCUGGGUGUCUUAACUUGAUUCAUGUUAGUGUUAUGAACAAAGUGAUGAAAAAAUGUAUUGAAUAUCUGCUUUAUGUCCAUCAAAAUAGGUUAAAUAGAUGAAAGAGCCUUCCUCCCAAUAGUUACACUUGAGUGCUUCUGAGACAAAGACAGUUACUCAAUAUUUGCAUGGUUUUACCUGAACACUUUUAUAGAAGUUGUUUAUAACUAUUUAUAGACAUAGAUUAUCAGGAACUCAUACCAUACUAUUAGUGUUCAUAUGAGAACUAGACUGUGACUCUGCAAGUAGGCUCAUCUUAUAUUCUAACACGUUUCUAACCUAGUUUUCAUAUACAUUCGAGACUGUGACAGUCCUCCUGUCUAAUUUCCAGAACCUGCAAAUAUCAUCAAGCAUGUCUCUUAAGUAUGCUGUGUUAUGUGGCACAGCUAACCUAAGAUAGGGAGUUUAUCUAAGUGAAUCUGAUGAAUAAAUCAUGGGAGAACAUAGACUCCAAGAGGCAGUCCAGGAAAGGGGAAUCUCCCUUUGUAACUCCAGUACUCAGAAGGCUAAAUCAGGGUAUUAUGAGUCUCACCUACAUAAAGAGACAAUGGAUUAAAAUAUAAAACAAAUUGAUUAGUGCAGAGAAGCAAAAGAUCUAAAACAGAAAUGCUUUGGCCACCAAUGAAGAAUGAACCAAUGAAGAAUGAAGAGAAAUGCAUUUAAAAAAAAAAAAAAAACUUCAGGGCAACCUAAGACACCAAAAGACAUUCUACUGACAGCCAGCAAGGAAAUAAGGGCCUCGGUCUUAUACCCCAAGGAACUACAGUGUACUUGUAAGUCAGAUGGACUCAGGAGUGGGUUCCUUCCCAAGUCAUCCUCAUUGCAGCUUAACGAGCUCCUGGACUUAACUGUCAACUAACAGAACUCUAAGAUGUGGGCAUUGCUUCAAGAUGUCAUGUCUGCAAUGAAUUUUAUGCAGUGAAUUAAGGAAUAAAAUAUUCUUCUGUGAAAUACUUCAAGUAUUCAAUGCCCUGCUUCUUCAUGACACAGGACAUACAGGCUCAUGAAUACUCAAGGCAAGAACAAUAAAACCAAUUAUUUCCUCAUCA